UACGAAGGGGGCUAGCGUUGCUCGGAAUCACUGGGCGUAAAGCGCACGUAAGCGGCUUUUUAAGUCAGGGGUGAAAUCCUGGAGCUCAACUCCAGAACUGCCUUUGAUACUGGGAAGCUCGAGUCCGGGAGAGGUGAGUGGAACUCCGAGUGUAGAGGUGAAAUUCGUAGAUAUUCGGAAGAACACCAGUGGCGAAGGCGGCUCACUGGCCCGGUACUGACGCUGAGGUGCGAAAGCGUGGGGAGCAAACAGG
rnacentral:rRNA from 1 species